AGCCUGGUUAGCUCAAUCGGUAGAGCAUUUGACUCUUAAUCACUAUAAGGUCAAUCAAAAGGUUGCGGGUUCGAGCCCCGCAUCGGGCUU
rnacentral:tRNA from 1 species